CGUCUACCCCAGUUCAUGCGAAUGCAAAUGUAAAAUUUCAAGCCAAAAGGAAUACUUGGAAUUGAUGCUGGUGGUAAAUAUUCAUGAAAAAAGGACAAGUUUUUGAACGGGCAACACCGAUUUUGCUCGGGACAACACAGCUCCAUGCCAAGGAUGGAGCCCCCUGCUUGCAGAGAGGCAGGUGUAUGGAGCAAAGUUUGGCCUCGGGCUGACCUAAAAAUCAUGCAUGGGAGCUGGCCCCGUAUCCUAUGGCUUUCAUAAUGCAGUGCUGCAUUCCUCCUCUUGGCACAGGCUCUCUGCUUAACUGCUGCUAGCGCUCACUCUCUCACAUCCCUCUCUCUCGCUGCUAUCUUUCCUCAGCCUCGCUCUGCCUCUCAUAAUGCAGAGCCAGCAGAAAGCAGGUCUCUCUGUCUCUCUCUCCUCUCUUGGCUUUACUGACACCGAGUGAGGCAGAGGGAGAAGAAAUCAGAGAGGGGGUGGAGAGAGGAGAGGAGAAAGGCAGAGUAAAGGAAGGAGGGAAGCAAAAGGAGAAAGAAUCAAAGGUUUAUGGAACAGGAAAGAGGCUGCGGGUGUGCUGGGCUGUGCUACAGCCUGGGCACAGUUGGAUCCAAAGGGCAUCUGUGAAGUGAAUUUUCGAGGUAGUCGUGGCUGAAAUAUUUAUUUAUUUAUUUAUUUUUAAAUGGCUGCCACAUAUGAAUCAUGCUAUUAUGGCAGCAUUGUGUUGCCAAAUUCUGCAGGCUUUCUUGUUAUGCUGAUGCAGCACAGUGAGAAAGUGGGUGGGAUUAAAGGGCUUGUUUUAUACUACUGGCACAAACAACAAUGUAUUCACACCUACUGUAUGCAUAAAAGUAACACUAUGCAACUUAUGCUAUUACCUGCAAAAGACUUGCACUAACGGUGAAUCAAAAACCAUCCAAACAAAACACAGAACAGACAUCCAAAUUCUAAUUAAGCUAAACAAAGAAUCAUAAUGCUGAACAUUUCAACAAAUGUGGAUAGCAGCGUCCUUGUUUGAUGCCAUGUUGUCCCUUCAGCACAACCCACAAUGCAACAUAACGCUAUGUAUUACAGCCACGUCAAACCAGCAAAUGUCAACUUUGAGUACACGGGCCAUUGUUUACAAUUCUGGAUUGUUCCCUCUUGAUACAAACUUCGUUUAGCUGUGACAUACUUCACACUAAAAAUACUUUAUUAUGCAUUCAGGAUCUUUGGUUAUUUAAGUAUAUUUAAUGUGUCUUGGAUUAGUAUAUUAAUAAAUUGAUUUACCUUUUUCUAAAAUACAUAUGCCAAUUUGGGUGAAUGUCCUCAGUGAUUAAGAUGGAAACACUGCAGGUGAAUAGGGAAACCAUUUUAACUAACAGAUAUCACCGUUGAACUUCCCCAGUUAAUUACUGACAUUAAGACAAUUGUUUUUUAUUACAAGUUUUCUGAAAUUUUGCACUUACUAUUUGUUUACAUUUCCAGAACAGAAAUGUGAAUAUUGGAUAAAGCCAGCUUCGAAAUUCUUGUUUCAUUUUAUUGGCAUAUUAGACUCAAAGGUUCUUACAGAAGGGAUUUUGGAUAUCUCUUUUUAUCACUCCAUAAAUCACAAAAUACAUACCGAAAUUGUGUUUUUUAGAAUAAAAUGUUCUAAAAACCUCUGUACAAACCCUUGGAAUAUGGAAAGUUUGGUGUUUGUAAGGGCUACUGAAGAGAGAUUUCUGGCUCAGAGUAUAUCAAAACUCAAUUUGAGAAAACAGCCUUAAAAGAUAUGGAUUGUAAAAUUUCUAUACUUUU